AAUUGGCAGAUAAAAGGGAUAUGCAAUCCAUCCCCUGCUAGUCAGUUGUGUCACUCACUUUGCUCACACCAUGUGUUGAUGCAUUGUGAGUAAGAACCCAAAAUCUUGUCCAUAGAGUCAGUCACUUGUGGAGAAGAGUUCCUACAUUCUGAACUCCCACACUUUCUAUUUGAGUCAAGCUCUCCCAGGCCAGGGAUAAGAGCUGUGAGGUCU
rnacentral:lncRNA from 1 species